GUAGAUAUAGUUUAAAAAACAUUUGAUUGUGACUCAAAAGAUAGGGGUUAAAUACCCCUUAUUUACA
rnacentral:tRNA from 1 species